GAUGAAGAACGUAGCGAAAUGCGAUACGUAAUGUGAAUUGCAGAAUUCAGUGAAUCAUCGAAUCUUUGAACGCACAUUGCGCCCUUUGGUAUUCCAAAGGGCAUGCCUGUUCGAGCGUCAUUUGUACCCUCAAGCUUUGCUUGGUGUUGGGCGUCUUGUCUCUAGCUUUGCUGGAGACUCGCCUUAAAGUAAUUGGCAGCCGGCCUACUGGUUUCGGAGCGCAGCACAAGUCGCACUCUCUAUCAGCAAAGGUCUAGCAUCCAUUAAGCCUUUUUUUCAACUUUUGACCUCGGAUCAGGUAGGGAUACCCGCUGAACUUAAGCAUAUCAAUAAACGGAGG
rnacentral:misc_RNA from 1 species